rnacentral:lncRNA from 1 species
GCACUUCCGGAGUGAGGCAAUGCCUCGCCCUGCUUCGGCUCGCGCACGGUGCGCGCACCCACUGGCCUGCGCCCACUGUCUGGCACUCCCUAGUGAGAUGAACCCGGUACCUCAGAUGGAAAUGCAGAAAUCACCCGUCUUCUGCGUCGCUCACGCUGGGAGCUGUAGAGCGGAGCUGUUCCUAUUCGGCCAUCUUGGCUCCUCCGGCUUACAUUCUUGAAGUCAUUAAAGAAGCAACCCAUGGCAAAACUAGUUAUUUUCUUAAAACAGUAGGAAGAAGAAAAGCUUUUUGAAUGAAUCACUUCUCAUCUUCUCCGAAGUUGGAAGCAUCAAGAAUCUAAAUAAGCAUUUAUGAUGGCUGGCAUGAAUAUACAGGUGAAGACAGAACAAGAAAACAAACCAAGAAUUUCCCCUCACCAGCCACCAGCUCUGCCAGCAACUUGAUCUUAGACUUCCCAGCCUCCGUAACGCCUCUGCUUAUAAUCUGUCAUGGAUUGGAAAACUAGAAAAAACAGUUUACAGAGUAUAACAAACUUUGGAGGAGUUAAUCGACUCUAAGUAAAAGAGUAUCUAGCACGGCUGUGGAACAAAGGAGAGACUCACAAACUGUUGAAAGAAUAAAUGAAUGAAUGAAUUCUGUUCAUGAGCUUUAAUAAAACAGCUCUGAGUAGUAACAGUGGAUCAAAUUUAGGCUUCUUGAUGCAGGCAUGGUGUAGAUUACUACUUCUGUAUUGUCCCAGGAGCUCAGCACAUUCCUGCAGAGAUGAUAGGAGCUCAUCUGAUACUUGUCAGCUUUGAAUAAACUCCAGUCCCCAAGAGAGAGAAUGAGAAUCACCGGAAUACGAAACUUCCCUGUUGGACUUCCCAACAUUCUUGAAUGCACCAAGAUAGCCUCUUGCUGUGAGAUUAAUAAAUGAAUAAAUGCCUCCAUAUUUUUCAAAUCUGUGAAGUUAACAACAUGUAGAUUUUUUUGCAUAUUUAAAAACUGCAACUAAAUCUUAAUGCCUCUGAAGCAGAUGGAAGAAAAUAAUAGGCUUCCAUUAACUGUGUCAAAUUGUAUAGGUCUUGGCCAUCACUGGUCCUGUUGUGAUGAAGGUUUUUUGCCCUUGGAUAUAAUUUAAUUUUCAAUUCUUCUAAUUAUGGUACUUCAGAACAUCAAUAUUUGAGAUGAACUUCUCUAGUGUCAAGGACUGAUUUGAGUUGUGUAAACCCUGAAUAUCUGAGACAGGUCUCGAUUAUUUUAGAAAGUUUAUUUUGCCAAGGUUGAGGAUGUGUGCCUGUGACACGGCCUCGGGAGGUCCUGAGGACAUGUGCUCAAGGUGGUCAGAGCACAGCUUUGCUUUAUACAUUUUAGAGAGACAUGAGACAUCAACCGACAUAUGUAAGAUGAACAUUGGUUCCAUCUGGAAAGGCGAGACAACUUCAAACGAGGAGGGGGCUUCCAGGUCAUAGGUAGAUAAGAGACAAAUGGCUGCAUUCUUUUGAGUUUCUGAUUAGCCUUUCCAAAGGAGGCAAUUAGAGUGAGCAAAAUGAACAAAAUCAAUUAUUUUGAUUCUGAACAAAAUGGGAGGCUGGUUUUCCCUAAGCAGUUCCCAGCUUGACUUUUCCCUUUAGCUGAGGGAUUUGGGGGGCCCAAGAUUUAUUUUUCUUUCACCGUUGUAUCAAACUACACAGGCGGCCUUGGAAACCAUCACAGUUGAGAGUAGGUAACGCCCAUUUGUUGCAUAGUUUUGUGCUCCACACUCUUAUCUACAAAAUUAUGAAUUUUUUUACAUAUAUUAAUUUCAGAAAAACUAAAAAUAAAACAAAGUAGUUUCAAACUAGUAUUGUUUUUAUAUCUUAAAAAUAAAGCUUUAUAUACUCUCCUUAC